ACCCAACUUACAUACACAUGUAAUUUCCCUUUCACACCUGUUUGCUACUCAAUGAGCCACGUUACUAACUCCUCACCGCUACUCACUCACCAUCACCAUUCCUUUUUCCUUUUAUCCCACCCACACCCACGCAGAAAGAAAGGAAGAAAUCAGAAGGAAGAAACGAGGAGGGAUUGAGAGUGAGGAACCAGAGCUGCGGGAAGAGAGGGGAGGAGAGGAAGGGUGACGUCGGAGGAGAGAGCGAGUUCGCGGAGGAGAGCCAGAGGAAAGACGCGCCGUUGCUGUGCGAAGACCAUCGUCACUGUCGAGCUCGCCAUUCCAUCGUGGAGCCGUGACGCUGUCGCAUCGCCAUCGUGCUUUCUCGCCGCCGCUACCGUCGAUGGAACCAUUAUCGUCGGAGGAGCCAUUGCUGGGAGAAGCCCUAGCCAUCACCGUCGCAGAUGAACAGGGGAGAAAGAGAAGGAGUGACGUGACGGGAGAGAAGGGGGACCUCCGCCACUGCAACGGCCGCUGGCGAGUUGCACGCCACCAUGGAGUCACCAUUCUUGCCACCGUUUAGCUGCUGCCACUAUUUCUCGAUUUGACGAACAUGCUCCUUGUUCUAAUUCCAGUUUUUUCGAUUUCCGAAACCUUCAUUGCUAAUGCAUCUCCGGGAUAAUCAUAGUUGGUGCGGUUGUCGUUGUUGCUGCCUUGAAGGAGUUGAGGCUACUGCCGCUGCUCUGGCUGCAUUGAGGGUUGCUGCCGCUGUUGAAAAUUAAGGGAUAAAGAAAGGGGAUUAUCGCGGUUAGUUCCUACGGGUUCGACAAAUCAAGGUAACCGUGAUGCCAAGGUGUCUAAUUGACACAGUAAAGGGACCAUAUUCGGGGUUCACUCCGAGUAACGUCGGGUUGCGGGUAGACAACCGACGCAUGAGCUCAUGGCCUGCGCUAGGAACAGGCAUGCAUCAUCUUGUUUGCGCAUUUACAUUUGAUUGCGUUUGCUUUAUUGUUCAUUUGUGAUUGAGCUGUUGUUUUGGUGAUUUGCUUGUGUGCUUGAUGAAUAUUUUACUUGUGUUGUAGUCUUAAUAAUGUAUUUAGGAAUGUUGUUUAUGGAUAAGGAACUGUUAAUGUGACUGAAUUUUUGUGUAAGUAACGUGAUUUAAAGAAAGGAAUUUAAAACUGUUUUAAGUGAAAUUGUUUUUGUGAUAUGAACUAGCUAUUUGUAUUUACUUUGUUUAUUGCGGCAUUCACGUUCCCUACUGAGAACGUGUGGCUUUGUUCUCACCCCAAAGUUUUUAAAAAAACAUUUUCAGAGGUACAGACAGGAUGGCUAAUUAAAAAGCUACGGACGAAUAGAAGGCUUGUUUGGCUAGUUGCUUUUGGGUUUAUUUCCCUCGCCCUUGAUGUUGUAAAGUGUUGUAUUUUUACAGAGGGGUAGGUUUGUAUUUAAGUCUUGUAUGAAUAAUUAUUAUGUAUUAAUAUUAAUUAUGUGAGUAUAUGUUUAUCUGA